GUUUCCAGAACCCUACGAUUUUUCUCAGGAUUUCUUGUGAUGGAGACUAUAUACUGCCAAUUGUUGUAGGAAAGAUUGCUAUUGAGAAACUUAUGGAUGAGGAGUUUCAACGAGAAAGUGAGGAUUGUCCUGAUCAGUUCCAGUUUGUGAAAAAUCUAGUUGGAAGAUUAGACCAUGAAGUAUGAAGCUGAGCAUUUCCACUUUAUAUUGAUGCAUGUGGAUAUGUU